AGAGAGGAGACAGAGAGAGAGGCGCCAGAGAGAGAGAGAGAAGCCAGAGAGACAGAGAGAGAGGGGCCAGAGAGAGAGAGGAGACAGAGAGAGAGGCAGAGAGAGAGAGGAGCCAGAGAGAGAGAGAGAGACAGGGAGAGAGAGACAAGGAGAGAGAGAGAGAGACAGAGAAAGUCACAAUCAGAUGAGCUCCUGCAUUUUUCAGCAUUUUCUUUAAAAAAGAUAGAUGAGGAGUUAGAUAAACUUAGAUUUUUUGUCAGGAACACAUACUGGAUUCUACCCUCUACAACAUAACCCCUACUUCAAAUCAAAACUUAAAACCUACAACCUGAUUUUGGACGGAAUUACGGAAUCACCUGGAAGGUUCACAACUACCAAGAUUUGUUUCUCUAUACAGCAAAUUCUCUGGAAAACAACAGAAACCUGAAAACACCAUCCAACCUGGAACUGACUUGAUACAGCUUCAAAUAGCACUGACGUGUCAAGUGAGAGGUGUCAAAGCUCAUUAGCCCAACAAUGGCAGGAGAGUCACACAGUCUACCCCAACCAAAUGGAGAGGCCUUAGAAGCUCCCUCCCGCUGUUCAGAGGUCAUUAAAAUACAGUACCCUGUGCAUGUAAAGAAUGAUAAGGC
ensembl:lncRNA